rnacentral:lncRNA from 1 species
UUGUUCCCUUGUUGGCAUAUUUCAUUUUCUUCCCUGAAAAUGGGUAGACUGAGAUAAGGUAUGAGGAAGCCUUGGCCAUGCCACCAGCCGCUUAUCCCAAAUUCCUGAUCCCUGGAAGACAUCUGGGCUCUCCCUCCUGUUCCAGCCCAGUAGCUUCCAGCAAAGGUACUGGCUCAAUUGGACACGGAGUGUGGAACUGCCUGCUCACACUUGUGAACCCCCGUCCAGAAGGAAGAAACAGAAAGGGCCCAGUGAGUAUAGGAAGAUGCCAGGGCCCACUGUGGAAAGCCUGGAGCCAAGUUUUUCUUAAAUGCAAAUGUCCCCAGUGUGGGGUCACGUCCAAGCUCCAGAAGGAAGCCUGGCCUGGGCGGGGGGGUGGGAGGGCUGUUGCUAGAACCUGUCAAUCCUGCUCCACACUUCCGAGUUUUCCGUGGCUUCUCCUGAAACCCGGGCCUAGGGGGUGGGGCUUGAUUCCUAUCCUAGGGGUACUGGGCGGGGUCGUGUAAAUUAUCCAAUCAGGCGCUCCGCCAGGAGGGUGGGGCCAAGCUCCGCAAGUCUAAGGGGCUCCUGUUCCCCUAACCCACUGAAUUCAGCCUUCCAGAGGCCGAGGUGGCUCCACCACAGCUUCUGUCCGGUGGUGACCAGCACUGAUCUCCGGAGCCAAGGGAGGACCCGGGACACCUGGGAGCCGGGAAAUGUUUUCCAUGGCUCCGAGACAAUGACACCGCUUCAGUGUGAACUCUCAUGAAUUGAGUCUAGAUCCCCAGUGCUGUCCGUCUCACCUGUCCUCCUCUACACAUAUCUGGGAUAUGUCACGGCUUGGUGGUCUUUGAAGAUGUGACUCUGAACUUCAUCCAGAAGGAGUAGGCUUUGCUGGAUUUUUCCGUGAAGAAUCUGUAGAGAUGUGAUGAGGGAAGCCAUCAGCACCUGGCUUCUAUAGCUGCAGCCCAAGAGGCCAACUGGAACGUUAACAUCAGACACUAAUCCAGCUGACUGGACACAAUUGGGAAAACUGGUUAUUUUACCAAGGCUUUAACUGGAAUGGUGUGCCUUCCUUUAAGGAAUCAAAUUUGACUUAUGGAGCCAAUAAAGCCCUUGGAAAGCUGGCCUCAGAUUUCAUGUACAGUCCCUGUACAGGGUUUCCGAUCUGUGGUAAGUAAAGAAUGUCACUUUCUGACAGGCCAGGAGUCCCAAGUUAUCUUAGAACCUCAAGAAGAGAGGAUUUCUCCCAACUCAUAGGUAUUCAGUGGUACAAAUCUAUGGCUGGCCUUGCCUUUAAAAAGGUCUUAUCUCACAUUCCUUCUACAAAACAAAGUUCCAUCAAAGCCAAUUUAAA